GAUUCUGGCUCAGGAUGAACGCUAGCUACAGGCUUAACACAUGCAAGUCGAGGAGCAUCAUGAGAUUAGCUUGCUAAUCUGAUGGCGACCGGCGCACGGGUGAGUAACGCGUAUCCAACCUUCCCCUUAGUAGGGCAUAGCCCGGCGAAAGUCGGAUUAAUACCCUAUGUUGUCAAUAGAGGACAUCUGAAGCUGACUAAAGAUUAAUCGCUAAGGGAUGGGGAUGCGUCUGAUUAGCUUGUUGGCGGGGUAACGGCCCACCAAGGCGACGAUCAGUAGGGGUUCUGAGAGGAAGGUCCCCCACACUGGUACUGAGACACGGACCAGACUCCUACGGGAGGCAGCAGUGAGGAAUAUUGGUCAAUGGGCGUAAGCCUGAACCAGCCAAGUAGCCGUGCAGGAUGACGGCCCUAUGGGUUGUAAACUACUUUUAUGCGGGGAUAAAGUUACCUACGUGUAGGUGUUUGUAGGUACCGCAUGAAUAAGGACCGGCUAAUUCCGUGCCAGCAGCUGC
rnacentral:rRNA from 1 species